rnacentral:rRNA from 1 species
UACGUAGGGAGCAAGCGUUGUCCGGAAUCAUUGGGCGUAAAGCGCGCGUAGGCGGCCCCGUAAGUCCGCUGUGAAAGUCAAAGGCUCAACCUUUGAAAGCCGGUGGAUACUGUGGGGCUAGAGUCCGGAAGAGGCGAGUGGAAUUCCCAGUGUAGAGGUGAAAUUCGUAGAUAUUGGGAAGAACACCGGUAGCGAAGGCGGCAACCUGGUCCUUGACUGACGCUGAGGCGCGAAAGCGUGGGGAGCAAACAGG